CUUCAUUUCCCAGCAUCCUCCUGCUGUUGGGGAAGGUGCAGGCGCAGGCGCAAAGGACACCUGCCUCGUUACCAUAGCAGCCCCGCUGAAGUGCUGGGGAGCAAGCGUUUGGCCGAGGCCGGGCCAGGGCAGCGGGGCCUUCGAGGGGAGGUCGAGUCACGAGCGAGCGAGAGAACAGCCGGCCAGGCUCUCCUCAGAGGCCGGGGAGAAGGAGCCGGAGGCGGCGGCGGCGCAUCCCCGAGCCCACCCGAGGGUCCCUUCCGGGGAUGAGAGGAGACUGUGAAUCGACCGUGCAGUGGAAAGAGCCCUGUCUCUGGAGGCGGAUGCUGGGUUCACAUUUUGACUCUAACGUGUACUGCUGGUAUGACUUUAGGUGACUGACCACCCUGAAGUGAUUCCCACCUGGGAGAAGGAAGGGGACUGCGUGGGGGAGGGCUGGCAAAGAACCCCACCACCUGGCACGUAAUACUGGAUUCUAGUCUCUGUGAGAUGGGUGAUGUCCUGCCCAUUUUACAGAUGGGAAAACUGAAGCUCAGAGAGGAAAAAAAAGAGAGCACAAGAAAAGCCCUUGUGACAAAUCUGCAUGAUCAAGGAAAAAAUGCCUCCCCUGAUGGGGUCCCCCAUGUCCGUGUCUCCUUCUGCAUCUUGAGUGCAUUCAUUGCUCUCCCUCGGGAGCAGGCUCGUCCUCUGAAGUGAUGGCUGCUCAUUGCCCUGAUGUGAGUCCCUCUGUCUUUCAAAGCUGUUUCUCUUUAUGCUGUUGGUGGUGGUGUAUAAAUCCUUCUCCUGGUUCUGCUCGCAUCUUUUGCAUCAGUACGUCAGGUCUUCCUAGGUUUCCUUGGAACCAUCCUUUUCAUCAUUUCUUAUGGAACAGUUAUGUUCCAUUACAUUUCUAUACCUUAAUUUGUGCCGCCGCCCCUCAGUUGAUGGGCGUUAUUUUCAGUUCCUUGCCACUACAAAAAGAGCUUCUAUAAAUAUUUUUAUACAUACGGGUCCUUUUCCUUUUUCUUUGAUUCCUUUGUGGUAUAGGCCUGCUAGUUAUACCUCUGGGUCAAAAAGUGGCUGUGGGUAUACACAUGUAUACAUAUACUCAUGCAUAUAUGUACAUAUGCACAAUGCAAUCAUAUAGUCAGUUUCAUGUUUUGUGAUUUUAGUUGACAUUUGUCAUAGGUCACACCUUUUGAUUCUUUUCUUGGUGAAAGUAUUCAUUAUAGAAAAACACAAGACUUCUGUGUGGUCUACAAAUCACCGGCACCUAUCCUUUGUGACUUCUGAACCAUAUUUUCCAACAUAUAUAUUUAAAAAUUUUUAUUUAAAGUUGAGUUCUCUCUUUCCCUUCCUCUGAUCUCCCACCCAUUAAGAAAGCAAAAAAUGCAAUACCCAUUGUACAUAUGAAGUCAUAAAACACAUUUCCACAUUAGCCAUGAUACAAAAGAAAAAAAGACAAGAAAAUUUUUUACAAAGUGAAAGAAGAUAUGUUUCAAUAUACACUCAGAUCAUCAGUUCUCUCUCUGGGGGCAGCGGGCAUUUUUCGUCAUGAGUCCUUUGGGAUUGUUGUGGAUGAUUGUACUGGUCAGAGAAGACACGUCUUUCACAGCUAGUCGCCACUGCGGUAGCGCUGCUGGCGUGUACGACGUUCUUCUGGUCCUGCUCACUUCACUCAGCAUCAGUUCAUCUAAGUUUUCCCAGGUUUUUCUGAAACCAUCCCCUUUG